rnacentral:tRNA from 1 species
CGGGGCGUAGCGCAGUUGGAAGCGCGCCUGUUUCGGGUACAGGAGGCCGAAGGUUCGAGUCCUUUCGCCCCGACCA